rnacentral:rRNA from 1 species
AUUGAACGCUGGCGGCAUGCUUUACACAUGCCAGUCGAACGGUAACAGGCCUUCGGGUGCUGACGAGUGGCGAACGGGUGAGUAAUGCAUCGGAACGUACCCAGAGGUGGGGGAUAACGCAGCGAAAGCUGUGCUAAUACCGCAUGUGAUCUGAGGAUGAAAGCGGGGGACCGAGCAGCAAUGUUUGGCCUCGCGCCUUUGGAGCGGCCGAUGUCGGAUUAGCUAGUUGGUGGGGUAAAGGCCUACCAAGGCGACGAUCCGUAGCUGGUCUGAGAGGACGAACAGCCACACUGGGACUGAGACACGGCCCAGACUCCUACGGGAGGCAGCGGUGGGGAAUUUUGGACAAUGGGGGCAAGCCUGAUCCAGCAAUGCCGCGUGCGGGAAGAAGGCCUUCGGGUUGUAAACCGCUUUUGGCAGGAACGAAACGGUGUCCGCUAAUACCGGGCGCUAAUGACGGUACCUGCAGAAUAAGCACCGGCUAACUACGUG